rnacentral:lncRNA from 1 species
GCAUGCCUUGUUCAAGUCUCGAUAAUCCACACACGUCUAAACCUUACCAUCCUUCUUCGGACUGGGACAAUGUUUGCCAACCAUUUGGGGUCAUCAAUCACAUUAAGGAAAUUAGCUUUAACCUGCUUAGUGACCUCUUCUCAUAUUUUCUUUGCCCAUUCCAGCCUUAAUCUUUGUUUGACCGGUUUGAUGCGCGAAUG